rnacentral:rRNA from 1 species
CGGUGAUCAUAGCCAGGAAGGUACACCCGUUCCCAUCCCGAACACGGUAGUUAAGCUUCUGAGCCCUGAUGAUACUAUGCGGGCAACUGCAUGGGAAAAUAAGACAUCGCCG